rnacentral:rRNA from 1 species
UCCGUAGGCGGCCAUGCAAGUCUUGGGUGAAAUCCCCCGGCUCAACUGGGGAACUGCCUGGGAAACUGUGUGGCUUGAGUUCGGUAGAGGGAGAUGGAAUUCCGGGUGUAGCGGUGAAAUGCGUAGAUAUCCGGAGGAACACCAGUGGCGAAGGCGAUCUCCUGGGCCGAUACUGACGCUGAGGGACGAAAGCUAGGGGAGCAAACA